rnacentral:rRNA from 1 species
GAAAGCCUGACGGAGCAAGACCGCGUGGGGGAAGAAGGCUCUUGGGUUGUAAACCCCUUUUCUCUGGGAAGAAAGUUGUGAAAGCAACCUGACGGUACCAGAGGAAUCAGCAUCGGCUAACUCCGUGCCAGCAGCCGCGGUAAGACGGAGGAUGCAAGCGUUAUCCGGAAUGAUUGGGCGUAAAGCGUCCGCAGGUGGCAGUUCAAGUCUGCUGUCAAAGACCGGGGCUCAACCUCGGAAAGGCAGUGGAAACUGAACAGCUAGAGUAUGGUAGGGGCAAAGGGAAUUCCUGGUGUAGCGGUGAAAUGCGUAGAGAUCAGGAAGAACAUCGGUGGCGAAG